AAAUUGAAGAGUUUGAUCAUGGCUCAGAUUGAACGCUGGCGGCAGGCCUAACACAUGCAAGUCGAACGGUAACAGGAAACAGCUUGCUGUUUCGCUGACGAGUGGCGGACGGGUGAGUAAUGUCUGGGAAACUGCCUGAUGGAGGGGGAUAACUACUGGAAACGGUAGCUAAUACCGCAUAACGUCGCAAGACCAAAGAGGGGGACCUUCGGGCCUCUUGCCAUCGGAUGUGCCCAGAUGGGAUUAGCUAGUAGGUGGGGUAACGGCUCACCUAGGCGACGAUCCCUAGCUGGUCUGAGAGGAUGACCAGCCACACUGGAACUGAGACACGGUCCAGACUCCUACGGGAGGCAGCAGUGGGGAAUAUUGCACAAUGGGCGCAAGCCUGAUGCAGCCAUGCCGCGUGUAUGAAGAAGGCCUUCGGGUUGUAAAGUACUUUCAGCGGGGAGGAAGGGAGUAAAGUUAAUACCUUUGCUCAUUGACGUUACCCGCAGAAGAAGCACCGGCUAACUCCGUGCCAGCAGCCGCGGUAAUACGGAGGGUGCAAGCGUUAAUCGGAAUUACUGGGCGUAAAGCGCACGCAGGCGGUUUGUUAAGUCAGAUGUGAAAUCCCCGGGCUCAACCUGGGAACUGCAUCUGAUACUGGCAAGCUUGAGUCUCGUAGAGGGGGGUAGAAUUCCAGGUGUAGCGGUGAAAUGCGUAGAGAUCUGGAGGAAUACCGGUGGCGAAGGCGGCCCCCUGGACGAAGACUGACGCUCAGGUGCGAAAGCGUGGGGAGCAAACAGGAUUAGAUACCCUGGUAGUCCACGCCGUAAACGAUGUCGACUUGGAGGUUGUGCCCUUGAGGCGUGGCUUCCGGAGCUAACGCGUUAAGUCGACCGCCUGGGGAGUACGGCCGCAAGGUUAAAACUCAAAUGAAUUGACGGGGGCCCGCACAAGCGGUGGAGCAUGUGGUUUAAUUCGAUGCAACGCGAAGAACCUUACCUGGUCUUGACAUCCACGGAAGUUUUCAGAGAUGAGAAUGUGCCUUCGGGAACCGUGAGACAGGUGCUGCAUGGCUGUCGUCAGCUCGUGUUGUGAAAUGUUGGGUUAAGUCCCGCAACGAGCGCAACCCUUAUCCUUUGUUGCCAGCGGUCCGGCCGGGAACUCAAAGGAGACUGCCAGUGAUAAACUGGAGGAAGGUGGGGAUGACGUCAAGUCAUCAUGGCCCUUACGACCAGGGCUACACACGUGCUACAAUGGCGCAUACAAAGAGAAGCGACCUCGCGAGAGCAAGCGGACCUCAUAAAGUGCGUCGUAGUCCGGAUUGGAGUCUGCAACUCGACUCCAUGAAGUCGGAAUCGCUAGUAAUCGUGGAUCAGAAUGCCACGGUGAAUACGUUCCCGGGCCUUGUACACACCGCCCGUCACACCAUGGGAGUGGGUUGCAAAAGAAGUAGGUAGCUUAACCUUCGGGAGGGCGCUUACCACUUUGUGAUUCAUGACUGGGGUGAAGUCGUAACAAGGUAACCGUAGGGGAACCUGCGGUUGGAUCACCUCCUUACCUUAAAGAA
rnacentral:rRNA from 3 species